GUAGGAACGGCACAGCCGCAAAUCCGACCUGCCACCGAUUGUGUGGCUUGGGAUUGCGGACGUGC
rnacentral:ncRNA from 1 species